GUUGUCAGGACUCGAGGAGUGAAGGCCAUGGGAAAAUCUGGCAUAUUACAAUGUUCCCAUGGCCUUUACUCCUUUAAUCCUGACAAC
ensembl:miRNA aca-mir-5467 aca-mir-5467